rnacentral:lncRNA from 1 species
AAUCCUCGCUGAACCCGGCGCGGUUUCCCCAGCGCUGCUCCACGCCGCAGUCCAGCGCCUGGAGUCCGCGCGCCCCGAGCCCCUGCCCGCUCAUGCGCAGCUGGGUCACCCAGGUGCACCCACUUCCUUGCUGUCCCGCCGCCCUCCCUGCCCCCACCCCGCCUAGGCCCUGGGUGUCCCUUCUCCAUCCUCCCUGGCGCCUCUGCCUCAGGCCACCUGGCCGUCCUCCUGGGCUCCCCGCUCGGGGGCGGCCCCUGGUCCGACGGUGCCGCAGACGCGCGCGCACAGGCCAGUCCCGCGGAGAGGCUGCUCUCAGGGGCUAGGCGGGGGGCUGAGUCAGAGGCUGGGGCCUGCCAGGAGCGGGGCGGCCUGGGGCGCAGCAGCAUUGGAGCUGAAGGCGAGGGCGGCCCGCGCCGGUUGGGGAGCAGGGCCUAGAAUUUACUUCACGACUACCAGCGUGGAAACUGCAGAGGGGCUGCCACAUCGCUGCCAGGGCCUGCCCUGGGGCCUUGGAUCCCGCCGGCUUCUCUCUCCACCCGCCUCUGUCCCACGUCUCCACCUGCCGUCCUGUUUGGUGCUUGGAUCCACUAAUGCCCAGUCAGCUUUCACGAAACGUCGGAUGUAUUUAUUUUUUUUAAUAUCUGGGGUACACGUGCAGGAUGUGCAGGCUUGUUGCAUAGGUAAACGUGUGCCAUGGUGGUUUGCUGCACCUAUCAACCCGUCACGUAGGUCAUCAAUCUCCAGGUGGUCCUCAGUGAGAGAUAGGUCCUCUCAAUAUUCAAGAGCCACCCUUCUACAGGGGACCCCUGGACUGCCCAUCAGGGGGACAGGACAGAGGCACAAUCCUGCCCGUCUCCCUGGAUACCGCUCCCUGGCUGGCCACCACUUUCACUAACCCAUGGAGCCAACCGUGCCCUGACAGCAAGAGGCCAAUACUCACAGAACCACCACCGCUGCCCCUCUGUCAGCAGACAGCAGUUACAGAAGACUGACCUUUGUCCAUUUCCCUCAAGAACUGGGGUCUUGGCCUCCUGCGGGGGGAAAUGUUAGUGUGGGUAGCUAGGGGGUAUGAGCAGGGCAGGAGAGGGCUCCCCACCACCACACACACACAACAGGUGUGCUGGCCACCAUGAGGUGAUGGUCAGGUAGUUGUUAACUGUCUCUAAAGUAAUAAUUGGUCACAGCCAGCGCCAGGGAAAGACAGCCUCCUAACAGAUAGACAACAGCUGAAGCUGGUGAUCAGCAGCUUCCCGUUAAGAUCUCAGGAGCUGGGUGGGUGGGGAGAAGUAACACAAGACCCCGCAUUAUGUCACUGUAUCAAACCCCAAGUCAGAAGGUCAAACCACACACUGGUCUUUCAAGGUGCCCUCCUAGCCUUCUUCCAGGCGUACUUUCCUUCCUCCUUUAAAGCUUUUUAAUAAACUUCACUUCUGCUCUGAAGCGUGCCUCGGU